rnacentral:rRNA from 1 species
UACGUAGGGUCCGAGCGUUGUCCGGAAUUAUUGGGCGUAAAGGGCUCGUAGGCGGUUUGUCGCGUCGGGAGUGAAAACUCAGGGCUCAACCCUGAGCGUGCUUCCGAUACGGGCAGACUAGAGGUAUGCAGGGGAGAACGGAAUUCCUGGUGUAGGGGUGGAAUGCGCAGAUAUCAGGAGGAACACCGGUGGCGAAGGCGGUUCUCUGGGCAUGACCUGACGCUGAGGAGCGAAAGCAUGGGGAGCGAACAGG